rnacentral:rRNA from 1 species
AAAUUGAAGAGUUUGAUCAUGGCUCAGAUUGAACGCUGGCGGCAGGCCUAACACAUGCAAGUCGAACGGUAGCAGGAAGAAGCUUGCUUCUUCGCUGACGAGUGGCGGACGGGUGAGUAAUGUCUGGGAAACUGCCUGAUGGAGGGGGAUAACUACUGGAAACGGUAGCUAAUACCGCAUAACGUCGCAAGACCAAAGAGGGGGACCUUCGGGCCUCUUGCCAUCGGAUGUGCCCAGAUGGGAUUAGCUUGUUGGUGGGGUAA